rnacentral:rRNA from 1 species
GGUAGAGCACUGUUUCGGCAAGGGGGUCAUCCCGACUUACCAACCCGAUGCAAACUGCGAAUACCGGAGAAUGUUAUCACGGGAGACACACGGCGGGUGCUAACGUCCGUCGUGAAGAGGGAAACAACCCAGACCGCCAGCUAAGGUCCCAAAGUCAUGGUUAAGUGGGAAACGAUGUGGGAAGGCCCAGACAGCCAGGAUGUUGGCUUAGAAGCAGCCAUCAUUUAAAGAAAGCGUAAUAGCUCACUGGUCGAGUCGGCCUGCGCGGAAGAUGUAACGGGGCUAAACCAUGCACCGAAGCUGCGGCAGCGACACUGUGUGUUGUUGGGUAGGGGAGCGU